AGCAGCCGCGGUAAUUCCAGCUCCAAUAGCGUAUAUUAAAGUUGUUGCAGUUAAAAAGCUCGUAGUUGAAUUUCGGGGUUAGUAGGUUGGUCAUGCCUCUGGUAUGUACUGGUCUCACUGAUUCCUCCUUCCUGAUGAGCCGUAAUGCCAUUAAUUUGGUGUUGCGGGGAAUUUGGACUGUUACUUUGAAAAAUUAGAGUGUUUAAAGCAAGCUAACGCUUGAAUACAUUAGCAUGGAAUAAUGAAAUAGGACGUUCGAUCUUAUUUUGUUGGUUUCUAAGAUUGACGUAAUGAUUAAUAGGGAUAGUUGGGGGCAUUAGUAUUCAAUUGUCAGAGGUGAAAUUCUUGGAUUUAUUGAAGACUAACUAUUGCGAAAGCAUUUGCCAAGGAUGUUUUCAUUAAUCAAGAACGAAAGUUAGGGGAUCGAAGACGAUCAGAUACCGUCGUAGUCUUAACCAUAAACUAUGCCGACUAGGGAUCGGAUGAUGUUAAUUUUUUAAUGACUCA
rnacentral:rRNA from 1 species